rnacentral:rRNA from 1 species
UACGUAGGGUGCAAGCGUUGUCCGGAAUUAUUGGGCGUAAAGAGCUCGUAGGCGGUUUGUCGCGUCUGCUGUGAAAACUCGGGGCUUAACCCCGGGCCUGCAGUGGGUACGGGCAGACUAGAGUGCGGUAGGGGAGACUGGAAUUCCUGGUGUAGCGGUGAAAUGCGCAGAUAUCAGGAGGAACACCGGUGGCGAAGGCGGGUCUCUGGGCCGUAACUGACGCUGAGACGCGAAAGCGUGGGGAGCAAACAGG